AGGGAGGAUCCCGGACGGCUGCCAGCUGCUGACAAGAACGCAGAUCCACACACACACAUGCACAGUCAGAGGAGUGGAUAGACACGCAGGACCAGUAAAAGUUGCCACAUUCGAGCCAACAGUCGACAUGCCUCAGUACUCGGACUUGGAGGGCGCCAUCAACACACUGGUCACCCAGUUCCACUCGGCCUCGGCCGACAACGGCUCCACGCUAAAGGUGGACGAGUUCAAAGGGCUUCUGUCUUCUCAGCUGCCCAACCUGGCCAAGGGCUUCCUGACAGAACAGGGCCUGAGCGAGGUCCUGCGGAAGAUGGGCGUGGGCGACGGCGAGGGCAUCUCCUUCUCCCACUUCUGGAACUUAAUCCAGACUCUCGCCACCUCGCAGCACGGCCUCCUCGGCGGCAACAAGGGCACCUCGUGCAGCUGCGCCCUCCUGUGAACACCCUCAACGAACAACCAACAAAAUUAAAAACAAAAAAAAAACCCCAGCUCUGAGGUUCCAGCCCGCCAAAUCGUCCUUGGAAAUGUAGAACCCACCACCACCAUCAUCAUCAUCAUCAUCAGGUGUCGGGCCAAAUCCAAAAAAAGAUGACCCAAGUGCAAGGCAUUCCAUUUUUAUACGCUAUCAUCUCGAUAUGACAGGUUUUAACUUCCCCGCCAUAUGUUGUGUAAUAAAAUCCGAAUCCAAAUCAGGCUAGUUUUCUCUCCGACCGAACCUACUCGCCACAACGGCUUUGGUAUUUUUCUUGUUUGUUCUAUUUUGCUAACCAACUAACCUUCUUCCACCGGGAAGGUGGGAUUGCUGGUGCUCGUAACCAAAGUCGAAUAUAAAUGAAUAUAUCGUGUCAGAUGCGUCAAAUUUAAUAGGUACAAAAGGCCAUACCUGCUCUAAUCAUUAACUCGCAUUCUUCUCGAUUGUUUUUUUUUUCCCUUUUCAUGUAUAGUCAGGGUGUUGCCCAAAAGGCUUAUGUUUACUUAUUACAUGUCGUUUAUUGGCAGUUGGAUGAGAUCAGCGUUGACUAGAACCAGUUUGUGAAAUAAUGUUUGAAUAAAUUCACUCCUUGUGCACAAUUAA